rnacentral:lncRNA from 1 species
UAGAGGGGCGGUGUGCCCUAGAACGCCCCCGGAAGAAGGGAGGGUUUGCUGUAGUGAGCAGAGAUCUGAUUGUUUCUGUGCUUUAUGUCCAAUAACCAACGGAAUCAUGAGCAAUCCGCGUCUCCGACGGCCUUCCUCUCCCCGUCUCCGCCUUUUCUUCCAUGCGAUCAACCAAUCGAUCCAUCCAUCCAUCCAUCCAUCCAUCUCCGUCUGUUCCUCGUUCAGAAUGAUCUAUCUGUUCUCUAGUCCCGCCGUGAUCCGAUCGCCGCCAUGGGAUGCUGUUCUUGGUUCCUUCCAAAAACUGGUUCUGAUCUGCAUUUCCCAGAGCAAAUUUUUCUUUUUUUUUUUUGCUAUUUCUCCCGGUUGUGUAAUCACUGCUACUGUUGAUCCAGAGACGAUUAUGGGGCGGGUUGACCUAAUUUUCUCCUGCACUAUUUUACGUGGUUGUGGCGGAGGUGAUCUUGAUUAGUAUAGCAUCUGAAGAUGCUGCCGAGAGCUCCUGCGGCAUGACUGUCUGAAAAAAUGGGUCAACUUGGUCUCUGAGCAAACGAAUCCACUCCCCAUGUGCAACAAUAUUAAUUCAAUAAUUUGACCAUAAUUAUUCCUAAAUGGGUCCGAACAUCACUCAGCCUCUUCUUUCCGACGAGAACUGGUCGAUCAUCCUGGGUUGACAUCAAUCGAUCGGCCAAUGUGUGGGUCAGGAUCAGAUCGGAUUGGCUGACCUAAUUGAAGUCCAGGCUUACCCGUUGAGAAAUGGGGAUCUAAUUGGGUCAACAACUGAUGUGGGUCCCUGGACUGUAGCUAACUGAUGUUAGUCCACAACUGAACAAGUGGGUUGACUUUUCUUUGCAUGCAAGUCAUCUUGGAGAAUGUAUCGGGUCCAUCGUCCAAUACAUAUGUCUCAAGGUCGAUGAACAGCAACCUUCAAUAAGUGACUUAGUCUUCACAGAAAGACUUGAUGGAAUGACAGUCCCCACGUGCCAAAAAUUAAAAGACAAUAUCUUAUAAUUUGGGCCUGACCCACCAGCCUAGCUAACCCACAUGAAUAUCUAGAGAGAGAGAGAGAGAGAGAGUAAGAAGCCUAGCGCGGACACCAAAAUGCACUCUAUAUAGGUAACCUUGGGGAAAUUGAAUCGUCGUCGUCUGUCCCACGUGGUAGGGGCACGUGGCAUGACUACGACGUGGUAACGACCAUCCGCACUAGAGGCAGAGAGACCGAUAAAGUCGAGUCGAUGGGUAUAUAAACAAUAAAAUUCAUAAUGGGAGUUAUAUGUAUAGAAAAAGUAUCAACGAGGGUAGGCAUGAAAAAAUACAUACCGAUAUAAGCCGCCUGGUGAGAAUCCGCCCCGGGCGGGGGGGACUGAGCCGGUGGGUCGUGGAUAUCUCUCGCCCUCGUCGUCCUCCACCUUCUGGCUGUUGACUUGGAGGAGCAGAUCAGGGGAGAGUUCCAGAGGCGGAGAGGGAAGGGAGGAGAGAGGAGGGGGAGUAAUG